rnacentral:lncRNA from 1 species
AAAAUCUUUUAAGGUUAUUAAUUUCUAAAAACUUGUGUAAUUUACAUUUACUGUUUUAUUAUUUUGCUGUAUUUAUUGUUUAUUUGUUCUUUGAACUUUCAGGACUAUUAAGAAACUUCGUAUAUUUACUGAUGCUGAGAAACAGCCUCAUCCACAUGAGUAAAGUUUUCAGUGGGCUAGCACAAGACACUUGUUCUGAGCUCAGGAAGACUUGUGGAUUGCAGCCAGAUUGUUUGAAUGGGAAAGGUGAGUUAAGUUUUGUUACUAAGGUAAAAUUGUAUAAAGGAAAUUUGUGUUAUUGUUCUGAGCCAGCUUCAUAAAGCUUUGGCCUCCCAGGACACUUUUAAAGGUCUGAAAGUGAAUGCUAUAGAAAAUAGGAAUUGAAAAGGUAGAUUAGAGAGGGAGAUAGAUUAUGUAUGUAGGUUUAGGUUAUAUCCACAGAUUGCAAAGUAUGUCUGAAGGCUUGGAUCAUUCUCAAGGGGGUCUCUUUCACAUUUGAAGUCAGACUGGAAACAAUUAUUUACACUCACUAGAAGGGUUGUUAGGCAAUUUAUACCAUCUUAAUUUGGCCUAUAUUUCUUUCAAAUUUUGUUUAUGACCAUGCCAAGAAAAGGCUGAGAAUGGCUGGUUUAGAUAACAUCAAGACUUUAUAACUAACUACAAGUAAUUUUCUUUACAGUCUUGUCCGGAGGUAACAGUUAUUUACUAUGAGCUUUAGAAUAAGAUGUUGAUUCAGGAAAAAACAACAACCCCAAACCCAAGUGAUGUCCGGAAUCAACAGCUUUCCCGUCAAAGAAAACCAUAGCUGACAUGAUAGACAUGUAUGUCGCUUUCCAGGAUGUUUAUGGAAUUAACAUUCUGAAAGUUCAUUACUUGUGUUCAUAAUGCUAUUGUCAUUUCAAUACAUAUGUCAUUCUCCGUCUCUUCACUGGAUUGCUACACUGUACAUCUGUAUAUAAAUGUGUAGCUACAGUAAAUGUUUUACUCCUGUGUGUUUGAGGUGGAUUGUAAUUCAUGGAACAAUUUUAUAGAAAUUCCAAAAUGCAUAGUGGAUAAUAUCAAAAAGGUACCGCAAACUGUGUGAGCUUUCAAGAUCACAGAUGUUUGUAAGGCAAAAUACUAGAAAUAUAAAUAGGGCAAGAGGAAAGUGGGAAAGCUAUGAACAUAAAUCCUUGUAGUUUGAAGGCUCUGCAAACUUCCAAAGUGGAAUGAUGUGAUACUGUUAGAUUUCACCUGGAGUAGCCCAGGCAUAGAAACUGAGAUUGGAAGUCCAGGUGGUUGGAGUAAUUCCACUUUUGUAACUGCCCAUAGAAUGAUAACACUAAUGGAGUGGUAUAGAACUGGAAUAAAUAAAUGUUUGUAAGUUUUUUUUAAACUCA